UGUGUGAUCAGUUUGUAUAUCUUGGUUUGUUAUUAAACUAUAACGGUACUUUUACUGUAACACAGAAAACACUAUCUGAACAGGGUAGAAAGGCUACAUUUUGUUUAUUGAGUAAAAUUUAUGAUGAUUGUUAUAACACUGAGACUUUGAUGUCCUUAUUUGAUACAUAUGUAACAAGUAUUGUGAAUUAUGGUUGUGAAAUAUGGGGUUUCCAUAAGGGAGCAGAUAUAGAAACGCUUCAUUUGUAUUAUCUAAAAAGAAUUUUGAAAGUGAGAAAAACGACUGUAAACCACAUGGUGUAUUUUGAACUUGGGCGUUUACCAUUGUAUGUAAACAGAUAUGUAAGAAUGAUACGUUACUGGUUGAAGUUAUUAGAAUCUAAUAAUUGUAUAUUGAAUAGUAUUUAUG
rnacentral:lncRNA from 1 species